rnacentral:rRNA from 1 species
GAUGAACGCUGGCGGCGUGCCUAAUACAUGCAAGUCGAGCGAACGGACGAGAAGCUUGCUUCUCUGAUGUUAGCGGCGGACGGGUGAGUAACACGUGGAUAACCUACCUAUAAGACUGGGAUAACUUCGGGAAACCGGAGCUAAUACCGGAUAAUAUUUUGAACCGCAUGGAUCAAAAGUGAAAGACGGUCUUGCUGUCACUUAUAGAUGGAUCCGCGCUGCAUUAGCUAGUUGGUAAGGUAACGGCUUACCAAGGCAACGAUGCAUAGCCGACCUGAGAGGGUGAUCGGCCACACUGGAACUGAGACACGGUCCAGACUCCUACGGGAGGCAGCAGUAGGGAAUCUUCCGCAAUGGGCGAAAGCCUGACGGAGCAACGCCGCGUGAGUGAUGAAGGUCUUCGGACCGUAAAACUCUGUUAUUAGGGAAGAACAUAUGUGUAAGUAACUGUGCACAUCUUGACGGUACCUAAUCAGAAAGCCACGGCUAACUACGUG